rnacentral:lncRNA from 10 species
GCUGUAAAUACUGCUGCAUCCCAAAACUUGGAGGGUGCAGAUGUGAAAUUGAGAUGUUAUAUAAAGUUAGAUAUUAACUAGGGGGACUGCUCAUGGUAUACACAUUGAAGCUACAUGGUCAACUUGAUAGACAGUAUGUACAUGCGGAAGUAGAUUCUCUUUAAAACAAGUGACUGUGUAUGUUAAAAAUAAAAGUGAACAAAAUGGCUAGGCAUGGUGGCUCACACCUAUAAUCCCAGGAUUUGGGAGGCUGAGGCAGGCAGAUCACUUGAGCGCAGGAGUUUUAAACCAGCCUGGUCAAUAUGGUGAAACAUGUUCCUAGAAAAAAAAUAUUAGCCAGGCAUGGUGAUGCAUACCUGUAGUCCCAGCUACUUGGGAGGCUGAGGUGGGAGGAUCACUUGAGCCUGGGAAGUCGAGACUGCAGUGAGCUAUGAUCUUGCCGCUGCAUUCCAACCUGGACGACAGAGCAA